CCGUCAAGUAAGGCUACGGCUCACAAAGUAAACUCAACACUUCGGAAAAAAUUACAUAAAACACAAAGGGGGACCAGGAGUUGACUGUGUUUCUGUUGUGGAUCCCCAUAUGACAGGCCUCAUUCAGAGAGACUGCUGUGAAAAUCUGCCAUCUGUAGAGAGUUUUGAAAGUAGAGCUGUGGACAUGACAUUGUUGAUGUUCAAGGAUUUCAGAGGGAAAGUGCCAGCAUGAAAAGGUGUAUCCUGAGUGCCCUACACAAAUAAGGUUCGAGCUUUCUGAAGGCAUUUCCAUUGUGGUUGUGGUAGGUCCCUGUAAAGGGCAAAGCCUGAUCUUGUAUCAAAUUGCAGUUUGUUGUACACAAACAUGUGGUUGCAGCAACCUCCUCCAGGGUCUCUCCUCC
rnacentral:lncRNA from 1 species